rnacentral:lncRNA from 1 species
UCUUCCUCGUUCGUCAUUUUCCAUCUGUUUCUUCUUUCUUUCUCUUCCUUCGCGUGCGCAUUUCUUCUCCGCCGUGUCGUUUGUGCCGUGUCGGAUGUUGGUGCGCGAGCUGUAUCCCAUUUAGAACGAAGAAACGCGAUCGAUCGCGUCAAGAUUCUCGCGGCCGCUGAAAAUCGUACCUUACUUCGCGCCAACUACGAGGGUUGUGAGCGAUUUCGGUCCCAGGCUACAGUGAGAUUUUGACGAACCGCUCGUAGCAGCGCGUAUUUGGGAGGAGAAAGAAGACGCAUGACCGGUCUGAAGAGGAUCGUAAGGAAGAGGUUGUUACCGAUACUGAUCAGUAUGAGGUUUCCAGCCAGAGAAAUGAAUAUUUUCGAUCCUCGCUGUCGAUAAAACACCUCGUAGUUCGAUCGUGCUCACGUCCUCCCUGGAAUCUCUCUCGAUCUCAUUGUUCGUGGGCAGCAGGGCAGAAAGCGGCGCUUCCGGUUUCAGGUUGAGUUGCACGACGGUCAGACGAACGAACGGACAGGCCUGGCUGCAUCCUGACUCCCCAGUGCCUCUUCUGCGUGGUACCCGCGGAAAAUUGUCGUAGCAACGGGAAGUGGAUAAGUCAGCGCGGAACCGGAAGUCGCCGUGGGAUCGCGCCUGCGGAGGCCGCUGAAAACACCGAGCGAAGCCUUCGUGCUCCCUGGGAACCGUCGAUUAGCUACACGCGCGUGUACACUUUUCGCCUGUGUCGUGUAUGCAGGCAGUCAUCACGGCACACCCACACACACACACACACACACACACACACACACACACACACACACACACACACACACACACACACAUACACACAUACGCGGAAAUGCGACGAACGUCGGAGAUACAGUACGCAGAGGGGAAGAGGACAGGGCGGGGGCACGAAACGUUAGGCGAAUAUACAGCGUAGAUAAAUCCUGUGGCUGCUACAACUAACGCGGAAAUUUCUUUAAUCGUGAGAAAAUAAAGAUUAUCGCUAUUCAGCAGAUCCAUUGAAAGCCGUCUUGUCCUGGGUAAAAAAACUUAGAGGCGAGUGAUUAGGGGGAGGUCGAAUCAUUACGUUAUUGCUAUGUUCCACGUUACACAGACACAACCAAAGACGGUUAAUAAUGGACGGUUAAUAAUGGACUUGCCGGUAGAGUAUACCACUACAAGGUAGGUCGAUGACUCAUGCUAAUCAUUGUUACGUUAUGAAAAAUGUCGGGCUUCGUAAUUAUCGAGAGACGCAUGAUGCAUACUUGGUCUCUGGUUUUAACUACAUCUACAGUAUACGCGCAAAGAAUGAAAUGGUCAAAGGCGCCAAAUCUAACGAAGCACAUUAAUCAGUGGACGUACGCAACAUCAAUUUGGACACUAGUUGGACGAGUGUUUGGCAAAUAUAAUUGGGGGAUUAACAAUGGUACGGUAACGAGGCGAUUUCACGGUAACAUAUUAGAGCGACGUGUCUAUUCGUCUCUUUUGCUUUCCAGGUACCGAUUUUGAUCCACAUCCAGAAACCGUGGGCGACGCUGAUAUUACGCUGAUUAAUGGUUUCCUUUGGCCCGGUAUCCUUGAAAAAUAGAUAUGGCCACUUCUGCGGUGGUAGUUCGACAUUGGCGAUUUAUCUGUUUUAAGCAACUUGAUUU